UAGGGAAUCUUCCACAAUGGGCGCAAGCCUGAUGGAGCAACACCGCGUGAGUGAAGAAGGGUUUCGGCUCGUAAAGCUCUGUUGUUGGAGAAGAACGUGCGUGAGAGUAACUGUUCACGCAGUGACGGUAUCCAACCAGAAAGUCACGGCUAACUACGUGCCAGCAGCCGCGGUAAUACGUAGGUGGCAAGCGUUAUCCGGAUUUAUUGGGCGUAAAGCGAGCGCAGGCGGUUGCUUAGGUCUGAUGUGAAAGCCUUCGGCUUAACCGAAGAAGGGCAUCGGAAACCGGGCGACUUGAGUGCAGAAGAGGACAGUGGAACUCCAUGUGUAGCGGUGGAAUGCGUAGAUAUAUGGAAGAACACCAGUGGCGAAGGCGGCUGUCUGGUCUGCAACUGACGCUGAGGCUCGAAAGCAUGGGUAGCGAACAGGAUUAGAUACCCUGGUAGUCCAUGCCGUAAACGAUGAGUGCUAGGUGUUGGAGGGUUUCCGCCCUUCAGUGCCGGAGCUAACGCAUUAAGCACUCCGCCUGGGGAGUACGACCGCAAGGUUG
rnacentral:rRNA from 1 species